AUGAAGCCCUUCGGGGUGGAUUAGUGGCGAACGGGUGAGUAACACGUGGGCAAUCUGCCCUUCACUCUGGGACAAGCCCUGGAAACGGGGUCUAAUACCGGAUAACACUCUGUCCCGCAUGGGACGGGGUUGAAAGCUCCGGCGGUGAAGGAUGAGCCCGCGGCCUAUCAGCUUGUUGGUGGGGUAAUGGCCUACCAAGGCGACGACGGGUAGCCGGCCUGAGAGGGCGACCGGCCACACUGGGACUGAGACACGGCCCAGACUCCUACGGGAGGCAGCAGUGGGGAAUAUUGCACAAUGGGCGAAAGCCUGAUGCAGCGACGCCGCGUGAGGGAUGACGGCCUUCGGGUUGUAAACCUCUUUCAGCAGGGAAGAAGCGAAAGUGACGGUACCUGCAGAAGAAGCGCCGGCUAACUACGUGCCAGCAGCCGCGGUAAUACGUAGGGCGCAAGCGUUGUCCGGAAUUAUUGGGCGUAAAGAGCUCGUAGGCGGCUUGUCACGUCGGAUGUGAAAGCCCGGGGCUUAACCCCGGGUCUGCAUUCGAUACGGGCUAGCUAGAGUGUGGUAGGGGAGAUCGGAAUUCCUGGUGUAGCGGUGAAAUGCGCAGAUAUCAGGAGGAACACCGGUGGCGAAGGCGGAUCUCUGGGCCAUUACUGACGCUGAGGAGCGAAAGCGUGGGGAGCGAACAGGAUUAGAUACCCUGGUAGUCCACGCCGUAAACGUUGGGAACUAGGUGUUGGCGACAUUCCACGUCGUCGGUGCCGCAGCUAACGCAUUAAGUUCCCCGCCUG
rnacentral:rRNA from 1 species